UAAGAGACUUUGAAUGCUCAGAUAUGCCCCCCCACUGAUCCAGUCUGCUUUUACUAAACCACAGAAACAUACACUACCUGUUGGAAAUACUUCUCAGCCCCUCAUCUGGGCACCAUGGCUCUCCCUGCCUUAGCUGGUGUCCUUCAAUGUGGGGCGUGGAUAUAUUGGAAUAAAGAUCACCCAAAUGACACAGUAGAUCAGGGUGGAAAAGGUGAUGUCCCUGGCUAGGUUAUACUGAAGAAG